CCUACGGGUGGCAGCAGUGGGGAAUAUUGGUCAAUGGGCGAGAGCCUGAACCAGCCAAGUCGCGUGAGGGAAGACGGUCCUACGGAUUGUAAACCUCUUUUGUCAGGGAGCAAGGAGCGCCACGAGUGGUGCGGCGGGAGUACCUGAAGAAGAAGCAUCGGCUGACUUCGUGCCAGGGGCCGCGGUAAUACCGGGGAUGCGAGCGUUCUACGGAUUUGUUGGGGUGAACGGGGGCGCAGGCGGAAGAGGUAAGGCAGCGGUAAAAUUGCAUGGCUCAACCUUGGCGAGCCGUUGAAACUGGUCUGCUAGAGUGGACGAGAGGAAUGCGGAAUGCGUGGUGUAGCGGUGAAAUGCGUAGAUAUCACGCAGAACUCCGAUGGCGAAGGCAGCAUUCUGGAGUCCAACUGACGCUGAGGCACGAAAGCGUGGGUAGCGAACAGGAUUAGAUACCCCGGUAGUC
rnacentral:rRNA from 1 species